rnacentral:rRNA from 1 species
UACGUAGGUGACAAGCGUUGUCCGGAUUUACUGGGCGUAAAGAGCGCGCAGGCGGUCGUUCAAGUCGAGUGUGAAAGCCCCCGGCUCAACUGGGGAGGGUCACUCGAUACUGAUCGACUCGAAGGCAGGAGAGGGUAGUGGAAUUCCCGGUGUAGUGGUGAAAUGCGUAGAUAUCGGGAGGAACACCAGUGGCGAAGGCGACUACCUGGCCCGAUACUGACGCUGAGGCGCGAAAGCGUGGGGAGCAAACAGG